UACUGUAAAACAGCCCUCUGCUGGAAAAGCGUUGAAGAUAUUUAAGGAUUGCCUGAAAGCUGUAUAAUUCUUGUUUUGGCUGUGUUUGGAAAGGUGGAAGUAAAGCAACAUGAAGAUCUCCAGGAAAGUGCUGAAGCCCCUGAGUGGAAGCAGAAAACACCCACAUGACCUCUUCCCCUUUUUGAAGGCCACCACACUUAUCUAGAGUGCCACAAAGCAUAAAAUGGAGGAAGAGACCCAGAAGACCCUGAGGGACAGCUUGGGACGUCAGCAGCACCCAGGACCUCAGAGGUGCUUGCAGCAGCACCUG